ACUCUCUCACUCUGCAUAGUUACACUAGGUUUCACCCGUGUGACUUUCGUACCGGGAGAGAGAGAAAUGAGUUCCUCAGUACCUUUGAUUGGCCUCACAGUGGCCUCUCUUUCCUAGAGGAGCACCACAGUU
ensembl:snoRNA small nucleolar RNA SNORA64/SNORA10 family